GGAGUUGUGGCUCAGCGGCAGAGUUCUCACCCAGCAUGAUGAGGCCCUGGGUUCGAUCCUCAGCACCA
rnacentral:tRNA from 1 species